rnacentral:rRNA from 1 species
UACGUAGGGGGCAAGCGUUGUCCGGAUUUAUUGGGCGUAAAGAGCGUGUAGGCGGCCAGACAAGUCUGCUGUGAAAACUCGAGGCUCAACCUCGAGCUGUCGGUGGAAACUGUCUGGCUAGAGUCCGGAAGAGGAGAGUGGAAUUCCUGGUGUAGCGGUGAAAUGCGCAGAUAUCAGGAAGAACACCUAUGGCGAAGGCAGCUCUCUGGGACUGUACUGACGCUGAGACGCGAAAGCGUGGGGAGCGAACAGG